CGGGAGAGGGGUCGGAGCGACCACCUGCACGGGCCGCGGCUCGCCGCCGGUGGGUCGACUGGCCAGACCCACGUUUAACAAAAGCUCUUAAUUCCCACGCAGGAUAAAGUUCGAAUAAGGCUGCUGCUGCUGUUAAAGGAGCUGUUUGGGAUGGGAUUAUAGGCUACGCCUUCGUCAGCGUAAAUGAGAUGGUUCUGCGUUGUUUGGUGGGAUCUCAGCUCUGGUCUAAAUUACCGGUCUGUUCAUAGCUCACCUACCAAUUAGCAUCUGGAGUGUCUCAGCUGGGAAAGCUGGUGGAUCUGGGGCAGUCGCUGUCUAAAUUGCUGGGUUUGUUGUUCAUCGGCGUAUUAACAUGCCAUAGAGUCCUUGUCCCUUUGGCAGCAGUUGUCCCCGAAAAUUUGAAAAGGCUGCUGCGUUCACUUGCCGCAGCUCCCGUUUACGCUGUCGAGGCUUGGCGGCGGGUUCAACCCAGUAAUCAAAAAGUAGCAAUUCAGCUGCUACCUCCUUUACAUCAAAAGUCGCUUCUUCCUGAAUGCGCCCAGGAUUUCCGAUUCAAGCCUCAGUUUACAGUGCACGCAUCGGUCCUUGCGAGCACCGGCGCAGGUCUGUGAACCCGCUGGCCAGACGAACCCCACGAGGAAGCAGCAGCCCACCGCGUGGCCACGACACGCUUGUGUUGGCUCGGUUGUCGUGGUCUCAACUGGAUCAAUAAGAUCGCCUUGGUUCUCAUCGCACAACGGAGGAGUUCCUAUUUUUUUCAGGAGAUGGCAUCCGGCCGGCCAGGUCACUCGCAAGAAGAGCGCCGUACUUGUGCGUAGGCGGGCCGGGUCCUUUAAGUAUGUAUCUGUGCAUAGUCUCUCAUAGCCAAGGGCCUCGGGAGCAUUUGAAAAGCUGCGAUGCAAUCCCCGCCGGAGGACGGACAGGACCAAGAAGUUCAUUGCCCUACCUUCCCGGAGCUGGAGGCCUCUAGGAAAUAGGACCUAGCCGUCUUCAUUCCCUUCCCGACAGGUUCCCCGUCCGUCUGUAUAAUGCCAAGGUUACUGGGACGUUAUUUAGCACAUUAAAUAAAACCCCA
rnacentral:lncRNA from 1 species